ACAAACUUGGUCAUUUAGAGGAAGUAAAAGUCGUAACAAGGUUUCCGUAGGUGAACCUGCGGAAGGAUCAUUGCCGAUCGGACGCUCCCCUCGCCGUGUUCACGCACGCCGUGGGGUGGAGCGUCUUUUUCGACCAACCCAUGUGAACUCGUUUAUUGUGUUUAACACACCACUCCCCUUCGGGGGGGGAGGCGUGUCCAAACAUUUUACAACAAACCACAUUCAAUUAAACUCUUGACUGAGACUUAUAGGUCACGCCUAAAAACGUUGAUCUCAAAAACCUAACCAUUACAACUUUUAACAACGGAUAUCUUGGCUCGCGCAUCGAUGAAGAACGCAGC
rnacentral:misc_RNA from 1 species